CAUGGCGACUGGUAAGAAUUGAGUUUAGCUGAGGUAUAAGACGUAUUUUAAGAUAAACUACCCACGACCACUUCGUUUUUUAUAUCAUCAACCUUUUAGAACAACUUUUCCUUCGUUUCAUCACAAAAAUGGGGGGCAAGGGGUUACAAAUUGCAGCAAAACAUUAAGAAGGUGGCCGUGCUAUACACUGGCAACUUUGUGCAGGUAAACUGUUGUUUCUUGGAAGAAUGCAGCCAUCGAGGAAUUGUUAGUGAUACCAUCGUAUCAGCGUAGAAAGGAAGGAGAAAUUGGACUUUGGGAUGGAUCAGCCAGUCUUAUGAAAUCUGUGUAGAGAUGAAGACAGAACUCCGAGUGAAUCACAAUGUGACGUGAUGAUACGCAAUAUGACAUCAAAACGCAUGCGUUUUAAACUGAGCCCCGAAGGACGAGAGUUCUUAGAAAGUUCUUAUUAUGUACUGAAACACCCCCUUAAAAUUCGUUUCAUUCAACUGUGGCACACAGUUUCACCCACCUGGCACCGGCUGUUCGAAGGGUGACUAACGCUAUUGGAGAAAUCUCUAUCCGGUGGAUGGCACAGUACGUUUUGUUAAAGCUUAUCCACUGGAUAGUGAUUUAUGCAUUGGAUAGCAUCAUUUCUCCUUUGAUCAACUAGACUCUGAAUAACAAGCGCUCUCAUCUCCCUUGAUUCUCUCUAAAGACAUGUAAAAAUUGCAAUCUUUGCUCUAACUUGCUCUGCGGGAAGAUGAAAAGGACGCAGUGAAGAAGUAAUAUUUGCUCGAAAUCUCUUUUAUCAGCUCAAGAUAUUAAACUUAUUUCGGAAA